CUCAGUGUGGCUCAGUCGUACAGGAUGAGACUUAAUCUCAGGGUCGUGGGUUCGAGCCCAACGUUGGGC
rnacentral:tRNA from 1 species